rnacentral:rRNA from 1 species
AGACGUCUACAUUAGACUACCCGGGUAGUCCCAGCCGUAAACUAUGCGCGUUAGGUGUAUCGGUGACCACGAGUCACCGAGGUGCCGAAGGGAACCGUGAAACGUGCCGCCGUGGGAAGUACGGUCGACAAGGCUAGAAACUUAAAGGAAUUGGCGGGGGAGCACAACAACGGGUGGAGCCUGCGGUUUAAUUGGACUCAACGCCGGACAACUCACCGGGAACGACAGCAAUAUGUAGGCCAGGCUGAAGACCUUGCCUGAAUCGCUG